AUUGAACGCUGGCGGCAUGCUUUACACAUGCAAGUCGAACGGUAACGCGGGGCAACCUGGCGACGAGUGGCGAACGGGUGAGUAAUGCAUCGGAACGUGCCCGGUAGUGGGGGAUAACUGCUCGAAAGAGCAGCUAAUACCGCAUACGACCUGAGGGAGAAAGGGGGGGAUCGCAAGACCUCUCGCUAUUGGAGCGGCCGAUGUCGGAUUAGCUAGUUGGUGGGGUAAGGGCCCACCGAGGCGACGAGCCGUAGCUGGUCUGAGAGGACGACCAGCCACACUGGGACUGAGACACGGCCCAGACUCCUACGGGAGGCAGCAGUGGGGAAUUUUGGACAAUGGACGCAAGUCUGAUCCAGCCAUGCCGCGUGCGGGAAGAAGGCCUUCGGGUUGUAAACCGCUUUUGUCAGAGAAGAAAUCUUCUGGGUUAAUACCUCGGGAGGAUGACGGUAUCUGAAGAAUAAGCACCGGCUAACUACGUGCCAGCAGCCGCCGUAA
rnacentral:rRNA from 1 species